UUCCCUCAGUAAUGGCGAAUGAAGAGGGAAGAGCCCAAAUUUGAAAUCUUGUCUCUUUGUGAAGAUAAGAGUUGUAAUUUUGAGAACUGUUUUCUGAGCUAAAUGAGAUAUAUAUAAGUUUGUUGAAAGACAGCAUCAAAGAGGGUGAUAAUCCCGUCUAUGAUAUAUUGUGUGAGCCUAUAUGAUACAGUUUCUAAGAGUCGAGUUGUUUGGGAUUGCAGCUCAAAGUGGGUGGUAAAUUCCAUCUAAGGCUAAAUAUCAGUGAGAGACCGAUAGCAAACAAGUACCGUGAGGGAAAGAUGAAAAGAACUUUGGAAAGAGAGUUAACAGUAUGUGAAAUUGUUAAAAGGGAAACACUUGAAGUUAAACUUGUUAUUGUUGGAUCAACCAGAUGAUGGUGUAUUUCGACAUAUAUAUAACAGAUCAACAUGAAUUUUUAAGGAUGCUGGAAAAGGUUUAUUUGAAAUGUGGCAGUGAUCUUAGGAUGAUUGUGUUAUAGUCAGAUUGAAUUGGCAGUGUUCAGAAUUGAGGAAUGCAGUAAAACUUGAGUUUUCUAAAAGAGAACUUGUUUACUAAGGAUGUUGAUGAGGUAGCUUUAAAUGACCCGUCUUGAAACACGGACCAAGGAGUCUAACAUGCUUGCGAGUAUUUGAGUGAAAGAAACUCCUAAUGCAGAAUGAAAGUAAAUGUAAAUGAGAACUUUUGUUUUAUAAAGGGCACCAUUGACCAGUCUUGAUUUAUUUAUAAGAGAGUACUGAGUAAGAGCAAGUAUGUUGGGACCCGAAAGAUGGUGAACUAUGCCUGAAUAGGGUGAAGCCAGAGGAAACUCUGGUGGAGGCUCGUAGCAGUUCUGACGUGCAAAUCGAUUGUCAAAUUUGGGUAUAGGGGCGAAAGAC
rnacentral:rRNA from 1 species